rnacentral:lncRNA from 1 species
AUAACGCCUGCUGGAAGAGCUGGAUGCUCUCAGCUCCGUUCUGUGAUGGAAACCCUCACCCCUAUAAAUUCUCCAGGCUUCUCCAGGUGCUUCCAAAACCUCCAUUGCAAUAUCAAAUGAUCACAGCCAAGUUACAGGGCAGAAAAGAGUUGCUGUUUUUGGAAAAUGUCUCUUUUAUCUCUUGCAAGGGGGAAGUUUCACUGUAUGCAUAAGACUACUUGAGAGAUAUAUUUUAAGAAGUGCACCGGUUACAUAUAGUAAGUUAAUAGAGUUUGCUCUGUCAGUAUGCAAAGGCGUUUUCAGCUCUUGUAGUUUGCUUACACACACAUGCACAUAUAUUUUUAAAUGCAGCUCCCCAAAGUAACAGCUGCUUGUUCUAUUUUGUGAAGGGAUUAUAUUUUUGGAGGAAGAAAAUGCUUGGUUAGAUAUAUUUUGUGAACCGUUGGCGCCAGCCCUGCGAGGACAUUUGCAUAGCACACACAGGUUCUGCAUUCAGCUCCAGCAUACUGGGAAGGAAAAAGAGACACCACGAUGGCUGCCUAGUGUCACUUCCCAUGUCACGCACCUUUGUCUCUGACAGUUGACAGUCUUAGGCUUUUCAGAAUAACACAGACACACAUUCUUGCUUGAUGUAGGAGCACGUGUGAGAUUUCAGAGCAGCCCAGACAGGAAGGGGCUGUCUAGAGCAUGGUCCUCAAUGGUUCUUAAGAAGCAAAGUCCCUGCUCCCUCUGGGUGAACACUGGCAAACACUGAGGUUACUCUCCUGUAUCCUGGCAUAUUUAGAGUUAAUCUCACACAUAGAAAUAAUCUUGAAUAGGAUAAAGGGCUGACUGAAAUCUCCACCUAGCCUGCACGAUGCUAGGCCUUUCACUCUGAUUCUGAAAAGGAAAUGUUUGAGAAAUUGAAAGAUCCAUCAAGCAGCCCUCUCUGCCACCUGCACCCCAAGCUUUGCUAAAGGUGGGCUGUUCUGCAGUCUUUUUUAAAUGCUGAAGCUGAGAGCUUGUUGCAGUCCUGUUGCAACAAGGAGAAAGGCGAACACCUUUCUUUAUGAAUGGACCAAAUGAUUGAUGCACAAUUUUCUUCCCAGGGAAAGCUUGUCAGGUUGUGGGCAUUAGUGGGCUAGUUGGUGUUAAGCCCGAUCCACGUAAAAUUCCAUUUGAUAAAUCCCAGGGAGUUUCCAGAGUUUUGUGUGUUGUGUUGUGUUUUGUUUUGCUUUGUUUCCACCUCCAGCUGGAUAUUGUGCUUGAAUUUGUGAGUCUUCUGACAAGACACAUUUCUCUUUAAAAUAGAGUGAUUUUUAAAUUGUCUUGUGAAAUCAACCCAGGUUACCUUGAGCCGUUUACUUACAUCAAGUCUACUCUUGCCAGUGUGUGCCAACAACCAGUUUGGCAAAGUGAAAUCUUAGCAUGUUUUGGAUGGUAGGAGCACUAACCUUACAGUGUUGAGGAGACAAAGAAAGCUACCAAGAUUUGUCACAUAUCUUUUUAAUUGUCCAUACCAUACCUACUAUGACUGUGUUAGACACACCACCGAAUAGAUGGUGUUCUUAGCAUCACUAUCAUAGUUUCACAUCAUUUCCUUGCCAUGGUUCUUCUAGGGAGCACUGGGGAGUCAGCCAAGAAAAAUGAGAUUAGAGGUAGUGACUUGUUUUAGUGUCCAGAAGCCCAGUAUGGAGUGGACCACAGUCCCCGGACAAGUGUGUGUAGAGCAUGCUGGCUCUUGUAUGAUUCCCAGUCUGCCUGUCUGCCUGACUUCUCUUCCUUUCCCUCUUUCUCUUUGUUGUUGUUUGAGACAGUCUUGCUACGGAGACCCAGGACUCACUUCUGCUUCUGCCUCCCAAAUGCUAGGAUCACAUACUUACUGAAAUCGUGUUCUUCCAAUUUCCUUUAAUUAGCUUGCUUUUAGAUUGGCUCGCCGCCAUCUCUAAAGCCUAGGAAAGAAGUGCAGACUUGGCUGUAAUGCCAGCAGCUUUCAGGCCAUAGUGUCGACUUCCUGCCUGCUUGUGGACAAAGGAAGUAUGCUGCUGAUGCCCAGACAGUGCCAUUUGAAUAUUAGGUGACCGUGAAACACCAUACUGCCAAGUGUCUGCAAACCAGAAGACAGUUUAGUUCAGGAAAUAUUUUGCCAAAUUCAGGGGCUUUAUUAAAAUCAAAGAGGAGAAAGAGGAAAUAUUUUGUCCUUAGAUGCUAAUAUGUUUUAGGCUUUCUUUUUCUGUUUUAUAAAGUUAACCCAGUAUUUACAUUUCCAUAUUGUGUGAAUUGAACCAUCUAAAUAUAUUUUUCUUUUGUUAUUGAAAGGUACCAAAGGCUUUUUAUGUUUUGUUUGGUUUGUUUGAUUUUAUUGUAGGGUUUGUUUUUUUUUUUCUAGAAAUACCUUUUAUAUAGACUAGUCCCCAAGUGUCUGGGUCUACUUCAGUCUGUGUAAUUGGUUUUUACCUCAGUUCAUUUGUAUUUGUCUCUCAAGGCAUUGGUGAAAUCUCAGAUUUUAUAUUCUGCUUUAAAGGGGAAUAAAUUCCAGAAAACAUG